GGCCGACGUCUUUUUUUUCACUGGGAUCAUUAUGACGUUUACGCUCUCGUUUUCGUUGAAUGGGUUGAAUGAGAAUGAGAGAACAGAACAUCGCAAGAGAAAGGUGAAUGAAAACUGUAAAUAUAAACGGUAAUGUUAGUUUUCUUGGAAUAAUAACGGCUUCCAGGAUGUCUGCACGAAUACCAUGUUCACCAAUACCAGCAAUAACAAUAUGGUUAUGACAAACACCAAAUAUGCGGAAUUGUACCUGCAUCGAAGACGAAGGCCCCGCGCAUAUCCUAAAAAAUGGAAAUAUACAACCAAAAGACAUCUUAAUGUUGUGAUAUGGACAGGAGAACAACCUGGAAUCGGAUAGCUAUCGAAACCAUCGAAACUGAUUGAUAAAGGCAGUGAAAGAGGAGAUAAGUUGUGCUAUUUCUGUGUGAACGUACGAAGUGUAAUUCAAUAAAUGUUCAAAACGAUGUUUAUUUUAUCAAUUCAAGGAUAACGGCAAAAAGGUUAACAAUCAAAUGUUUAACAUUAUUCUUCUAGUGAGCGCACAUAGUUUUGUAAGUAUGUUGGAGCUUUUCUAUUUCGUGAUGGACGUGCUGAAGUUUCUGUAUCCAAACGAGCCUUUUGGUGGUCAUCUGCGCGCCAAUCUGUGACUUUUUUAGUUUGCGUGACAUUCCUUCUGAGGAUUUGUCCUUCAUCGUUGCACAGUACCAGGUUACCAUUAUUCUCUUCUAGAACUGUGUAUUUUUGGGGGGCGAACCUCGCUUCACCCUUAGCUUUGCAAGUUCGUUCAACGAUUACUGUAUCACCCGGCAAUACAUUGCAUUUCCUGGCACCUCUCCUGACAUCUUCCCGUUGUUUUCCCUUAAGUUUCGCUUCUGCAUCUCUCUUGUCCAAAAGGUUGUCAUCGAAGUCGGCUUUCUUGUGGAUUAGAAGAGGCAGCCGGCGUUUGAUCUUCCUUCCUAGGAAAACUUCUUCGGGUGGGACCCCAGUUACUGCGUGAG